AGCUCAUCUUUGGCAUUUAUCAAGGGCAUGAGGAACUUAACCAUAUUAAUCUUGAGAAACAGUAAGAUUUCAGAUAGAAUUCCAUUCGACAUCGGAGAGUAUCAAUCAUUACAGCAUCUGGAUUUGAGCUUUAAUGAUUUAACUGGUGAAAUUCCGAGCUCGCUUUUCACUUUGA